AGAGUUUGAUCCUGGCUCAGACGAACGCUGGCGGCGUGCUUAACACAUGCAAGUCGAACGAUGAACCCGCUUCGGUGGGGGAUUAGUGGCGAACGGGUGAGUAACACGUGGGCAAUCUGCCCUGCACUCUGGGACAAGCCCUGGAAACGGGGUCUAAUACCGGAUAAUACCUGUCCUCGCAUGGGGACGGGUUCAAAGCUCCGGCGGUGCAGGAUGAGCCCGCGGCCUAUCAGCUUGUUGGUGAGGUAGUGGCUCACCAAGGCGACGACGGGUAGCCGGCCUGAGAGGGCGACCGGCCACACUGGGACUGAGACACGGCCCAGACUCCUACGGGAGGCAGCAGUGGGGAAUAUUGCACAAUGGGCGGAAGCCUGAUGCAGCGACGCCGCGUGAGGGAUGACGGCCUUCGGGUUGUAAACCUCUUUCAGCAGGGAAGAAGCGCAAGUGACGGUACCUGCAGAAGAAGCGCCGGCUAACUACGUGCCAGCAGCCGCGGUAAUACGUAGGGCGCAAGCGUUGUCCGGAAUUAUUGGGCGUAAAGAGCUCGUAGGCGGUCUGUCGCGUCGGAUGUGAAAGCCCGGGGCUUAACCCCGGGUCUGCAUUCGAUACGGGCAGACUAGAGUGUGGUAGGGGAGAUCGGAAUUCCUGGUGUAGCGGUGAAAUGCGCAGAUAUCAGGAGGAACACCGGUGGCGAAGGCGGAUCUCUGGGCCAUUACUGACGCUGAGGAGCGAAAGCGUGGGGAGCGAACAGGAUUAGAUACCCUGGUAGUCCACGCCGUAAACGGUGGGAACUAGGUGUUGGCGACAUUCCACGUCGUCGGUGCCGCAGCUAACGCAUUAAGUCCCCGCCUGGGGAGUACGGCCGCAAGGCUAAAACUCAAAGGAAUUGACGG
rnacentral:rRNA from 1 species